rnacentral:rRNA from 1 species
UACGGAGGGUGCAAACGUUGCUCGGAAUCAUUGGGCGUAAAGCGCGCGUAGGCGGUCCAGCAAGUCGGGUGUGAAAGCCCUCGGCUUAACCGAGGAAGUGCAUUCGAAACUACUGGACUUGAGUACUGAAGAGGAUCGCGGAAUUCCCGGUGUAGAGGUGAAAUUCGUAGAUAUCGGGAGGAACACCAGUGGCGAAGGCGGCAUCCCUGGACCGAGAUUGACACUGAUGAGCGAAAGCUAGGGGCAGCAAACGGG